GAUGAACGCUGGCGGCGUGCCUAAUACAUGCAAGUCGAGCGAACAGACGAGGAGCUUGCUCCUCUGACGUUAGCGGCGGACGGGUGAGUAACACGUGGAUAACCUACCUAUAAGACUGGGACAACUUCGGGAAACCGGAGCUAAUACCGGAUAAUAUAUUGAACCGCAUGGUUCAAUAGUGAAAGACGGUUUUGCUGUCACUUAUAGAUGGAUCCGCGCCGCAUUAGCUAGUUGGUAAGGUAACGGCUUACCAAGGCAACGAUGCGUAGCCGACCUGAGAGGGUGAUCGGCCACACUGGAACUGAGACACGGUCCAGACUCCUACGGGAGGCAGCAGUAGGGAAUCUUCCGCAAUGGGCGAAAGCCUGACGGAGCAACGCCGCGUGAGUGAUGAAGGUCUUCGGAUCGUAAAACUCUGUUAUUAGGGAAGAACAAAUGUGUAAGUAACUAUGCACGUCUUGACGGUACCUAAUCAGAAAGCCACGGCUAAUUACGUG
rnacentral:rRNA from 1 species